rnacentral:lncRNA from 1 species
GUUGUCGUUUGUUUAUGUGUUACAUAUUUGUUUUUCGUUCAUUUUUUGACAUAAAUAAGGCCGUUAGUUUUCUCGUUUGAAUUGUUUUACAUUAUCUUAUCGGGGCCUAUUAUAGCUGACUAUGCGGUAUGGGCUUUGCUCAUUGUUGAAGGCCGUACGGUAACCUAUAGUUGUUAAUGUCUGUGUCAUUUUGGUCUUUUGUGGAUAGUUGUCUCAUUGGCAAUCA